rnacentral:rRNA from 2 species
UACGUAGGGAGCAAGCGUUGUUCGGAUUUACUGGGCGUAAAGGGCGCGUAGGCGGCAAAUCAAGUCAGCUGUGAAAUCUCUGAGCUUAACUCAGAACGGUCAGCUGAUACUGCUUUGCUAGAGUGCGGAAGGGGCAAUCGGAAUUCUUGGUGUAGCGGUGAAAUGCGUAGAUAUCAAGAGGAACACCUGAGGUGAAGACGGGUUGCUGGGCCGACACUGACGCUGAGUGCGCGAAAGCCAGGGGAGCAAACGGG